GAUGAACGCUGGCGGCGUGCCUAAUACAUGCAAGUCGAGCGAACAGACGAGGAGCUUGCUCCUCUGACGUUAGCGGCGGACGGGUGAGUAACACGUGGAUAACCUACCUAUAAGACUGGGAUAACUUCGGGAAACCGGAGCUAAUACCGGAUAAUAUAUUGAACCGCAUGGUUCAAUAGUGAAAGACGGUUUUGCUGUCACUUAUAGAUGGAUCCGCGCCGCAUUAGCUAGUUGGUAAGGUAACGGCUUACCAAGGCAACGAUGCGUAGCCGACCUGAGAGGGUGAUCGGCCACACUGGAACUGAGACACGGUCCAGACUCCUACGGGAGGCAGCAGUAGGGAAUCUUCCGCAAAGGGCGAAAGCCUGACGAAGCAACGCCGCGUGAGUGAUGAAGGUCUUCGGAUCGUAAAACUCUGUUAUUAGGGAAGAACAAAUGUGUAAGUAACUAUGCACGUCUUGACGGUACCUAAUCAGAAAGCCACGGCUAACUACGUG
rnacentral:rRNA from 1 species